AGUGAACGCUGGCGGCAGGCCUAAUACGUGCAAGUCGAACGGCAGCACAGCAGAGCUUGCUCUGUGGGUGGCGAGUGGCGGACGGGUGAGGAAUACGUGGGAAUCUGCCCAGUCGUGGGGGAUAACGUAGGGAAACUUACGCUAAUACCGCAUGCGCCCUUUGGGGGAAAGCCGGGGAUCUUCGGACCUGGCGCGAUUGGAUGAGCCCACGUCGGAUUAGCUAGUUGGAGGGGUAAAGGCCCACCAAGGCGACGAUCCGUAGCUGGUCUGAGAGGAUGAUCAGCCACACUGGAACUGAGACACGGUCCAGACUCCUACGGGAGGCAGCAGUAGGGAAUAUUGGACAAUGGGCGCAAGCCUGAUCCAGCCAUGCCGCGUGAGUGAAGAAGGCCCUCGGGUUGUAAAGCUCUUUUGUUGGGGAAGAAAAGCCUUGGGUUAAUACCCUGAGGUUCUGACGGUACCCAAAGAAUAAGCACCGGCUAACUUCGUGCCAGCAGCCGCCGUAACAC
rnacentral:rRNA from 1 species